rnacentral:lncRNA from 1 species
AUAAAAACUAUUCUGUCGUCCCACCAUUUUAAUUUCAUGAUCGUCACCCUGGAUGUAAAGAUUGGCAGGCAUGGAGACAAUCUCAAUCCCAUUAACAAAAGCAUAAGAGUUGGGUGAAGGAGAGAACGUUAUCUUGAGUAUCUGAGUUUCAUUAACAUUAAUGACAAAUUCUUUUCGAAGCGCUUUACUAGAAUUGGUACUUGCUCCAGCGUCUGUAAAGAAAGCGCUGAAGUUACUCAAGAGGGCAAAAUGAUUAGCUGUGACAGAGAAAAAGGAUUCAGAUUCGUUGAUGUCAAGGUACGGAGCGGGGUAAAAAUAGAAACGAAGGAAUUUGGUGCCAGUAGAAACAGGGAGAGUAUAGGUGAAUUUAGAUUGGAAAAUACGGGCGCUCAUGUAAGGGACUCUAGUGACUGAAGUGUCUGAAGCUGUGGCUGUUGAUGAAAUGCUUGAAAAAUUCAAGGGCAAGAAAUUUGGGUAGUCGGUAUCAGUGUCCCAUCGACGGCCAUCGGACUCAUCUGUGGUGCCUGAUAGUGCGCCACAACUGAGCAACAAAGGGUCUGCCGUGAGAGCCAUAGUUACUGCCAUGAGAUGUAAUAGGAGAAAGGAAAUCAGAGAACUGGCUAACAUGUCUGUAUUAGGAAAAUUUCUGUAUAUUCAGAUUGCACAUAUCAAACUUUCAACAAUCUAACAAUUAUACUGCACAAAUUGUCAAAAGUUGAGUGUUGACUCUCACGUCAUUUCUUUUAUUUGUAAGUUUCUGUUUGGUUGAAAAUCAACGUGGUUGAGUGUCCCAGAUUGAACAGGAUGAGAGAUACCCCAGUUAAAUUUAUUAAACUUAUUAAAUUUAACUUGAUUGAGAGGGUCAUUUUCUUCAAACUUGAAUUUAUUAAAUUUCCAUGAUAAGGGAACCAUUUCUUCUGAUAUAACGAAGCCGCCUUCAAUUUUCGGUCUUUGUUAUAUUUCAAUAAUUUCUCCGGGGCCUUAGAGGCCAUAGACAUAUACUCUCCCAUUCAAAUUUACUUGUAAUAUUUUGAUUUGGUACAAGAAAACAAGAUGUUUAUAAUAGGUAUAAGAAAUUGAUUUGAAGAAUUAGUAAUUAAUAUUAGGGGUGAAAUAUAAAAAAAAAAUAUUUUUUGAUUUGUCAAAAUUGAUAUGUAAAAAAUAAAAAUCAAAUUAGGAAAAUAGUAAUAAAUAAAUACAAACUGCGGGAGUAAGCAUUUUGUGCUAUUUUAACUCCUAUUAAUGAAUCUCACCAAAUUAAACGGAAUGAUAACUAUUAGUAAGGAUACUUUGAACAUAGCACAUACAAAUUUUCAUUUACACGUCAGUUGUUUGAACAAUAAAUAAAUAAAGUAUAUUGAUUAUACUCAUUACAAUAAUUGGGGAAAACUUGAAAAGGAAUUCCAACAAGAAAGCCAAAAUCGAAGAGCUUGAGCUCGAUUUUCCCCGAUGGAAACCCCAUAGGAGCCCUAGCUUAAAUUUGGGGAAAACUUAGAGAAGAUAAUUCAAAAUUAACAGAAUCAAAUCAAAAUACAUUCAAGUCAUGAAUUUCUACAUAAAUUUAAAUUUCAUAAUUGGACGAAAUUUAGGUCAAAUAACGUGAGAUACUUAUGAAGAAAGAGAGAAUUUCUUUAUGCCUAAAGGAAAUUGUACUCGAGAAUAUGAAAGACGAAUUUAACAUUGUCAAAUAUUGAAAAGUGUAAUGAUUUGGAGCUAAUAUUUUAUUAUUAAUCAUGACAGUGAGUAAAAUUAAUAUAUUUUACUUAGUUAUUAUUGAAAUAACUAACGUGCAAAUAAAAAUUUGUAUGUGCUAUACUCAAAGUGCCUUAUUAAUAGUGGUCGUGCUGUUUAAUUUAAUGAGAUAUGUUAGUCAAAAAUUAAAAUAACAUACAUUAUUUAAUUGAAGGUUAAAAGUGAUUAAUCAAAUACCACAAGAACUGAAUUAAAAUAAUGUGAUAACUCAAAAAUUAAAAGCGUUUUCCCUAAUAAUAUAUAACUUUCAAAGGUUUUGAAAUAUUUUUUUUUGACCUAUAGGAUUCUACUUUGUUAUUUUCACCUGACUUUUCGACACUUCAGGGCCCAUUUGUACAUGAUUUUUUUUCUUUUCGAAAAGAAAUUUCAAAAGAAGCUUUUGGUUAUAUAUGAAACUGAUUUUCUAAGCAUGUGUUUGGUCAUGAAAUUUUUUUCAUUUUAUUUUUAAAAUUUAUUUACUUGUGAAAAAGGUGAAAAUAAUAUUGUUUGGUCACAAAAUUAUUUUAUUUUUGUGAAAAAUAUUUUUUGACUUUUUUCACUCAUAUUUCUUUUAUAAAAUUUCAAAAACAACUUCAAUUUAUAUUCAUGCCAAACAUAACACCAAAUAACUUUAACUCCAACUCCAACUUCAAAAAAUUAUUAUUUUCAUGGAGGGCCUAAAUUUCUUAUGAAUGAAUUUCAAGUUUGAAAAGGUGAUUUUACUCCGCUUUCAAGUGAGUUUUUGCACUAACCUUUGAUUACUAACAAAAAAUUUUAUUUUCAUGAAUGGCCUAAAUUUCUUAAGAAUGAACUCCAACUUCUUUUUCUACUUUUUGUCAAAUAUCUAUCUGCUAAACUGGGCCACGCUAAUCCUUAAGAAGCAAAGUUCAAUUUUUAUCUAGAUAAUUUCAUGAAAAAAGUUGGAGAUCUCUACAUGGCAGUUCAGUUUUUGUGUUCUUCCGAGUUUUCUAUCGUCUUAAAUACUCAGAAAUGAAUUCCCAUAACCACCUAACUUUACUAUCUCGACAUUAGUAGUUUAUGUUACAACUUACAAUGGAACUUGAUUAUAGCUAAGAAAAAACUUUACUGAAGACUUUAUUAUGUGGGUAUUAUGCAAUUAAGAGUAGACAGCAAGAAAACAUUCUGCACAUUGGUUUUGAGGAAUCUUAAUAACUCAGUUGGUUGACUACUAAACUCCUGAACUUAUAUUUCACCAAAAAAAAGAGAGGCAGGAAACAGCUAUAACAAUCUCAUCCACCCAACAAUUCAGGUUCUUAAUCAUGGAUGUAGCAUUACUUUUUGACAUGGAUAUCAUCGACCCAAUGGAUUCACAAUCUCAGAGAAAAUGGUGACGUUCUUCAAUUUGGCAUUCCUACUGAUCGACAUGGAUAUACCAUUACUUGUCAACUUUCUGUCAACUUCACUUAAAUCUGAGAAAAUCUCAGUCGCUGUAUUAGCAUGACCGUACAUAGUCAAGGGAAAAGAAGGGCCAACGGGUAAUAUGCAUCCUUUCACGUCAUGAUGACAUCUAUUAUCUGCACCCUCUUGGAGUUGUAAUGCAAAUUCUAAAGUUUUAACAAUAUCACCCAUUGAUGGCCUUUGCACCCCUUGCUCCCUCAAACAAUGAUAUGCCAAUUCUGCAAACUUGCUUAAACAUUCUGGGGCAAUGUGUCCUUUCAAGUUAGGAUCAAUGAUUUGUUCAACAUUUCUUUUUUUAUAACAUCUACAAGCCCACUCGGCCAAAUUCACUUGCUCACUUGGCAAGUUUGCAUUUAUUGCCGGCCUAGCGCAUAGCACUUCAAACAGAACCACCCCAAAGGAAUAAACAUCUGAUUUUUCUGUCAAUUGUUGACGUUUGUAGUAUUCAGGAUCCAUGUACCCAAAACUUCCUUUCACUGCAGUGCUAACAUGGGUAACAUCUAGCCCACCAAAUGAACCUACUUUGGAUAAUCCAAAAUCUGACACCUUGGCGAUCCACUUAUCGUCCAAUAGGAUGUUAGUUGACUUAACAUCUCGGUGAAUGAUCAUAUGUUUGGUACCUAUAGCAGCAAAAGCAACUCAUUUCAAGUAAUUUACUCAAGUUUAAACAUAUUGGAUUGUAACUUGUCCAUUUGUUUGACCAAACAGAUUAAAUCUGAAAUAACUAAUCAAGCUAUGGAUCAAAACGUACAUAUCAAAUAAUAUAACACAACAGGGCAAAAUGCAAAUUGAACAAACAAAACCCAACUUGACAUUGAUCGCUAUUUGACAUAUUCUGACCCAAUACUUUUUUACCAUACUAAAAUUGAGCGAGUUAUAUCAUGACAUUUUUAUUAAUGUAAUGAUUACUUACCUGAAUGAAGGUAAUAUAAUCCUUUAGCUGCACCAAUACAAAUGUCGAGGCGUUUCUUCCAUGGAAGAGGAGCAUUGUCAGUAUUGUACAAGUGAUCGCGGAGGGUUCCAUUAGCCAUGUAGUCAUAAACCAAGAUCAUCUCAUUCUUAUCAUCACAAUAACCAAUUAAGGACACCAGAUGUCGGUGUCUUAAUUUUGAUGAUAACAUCUCAAUCUCUGUUUGGAACUCGCGAACCCCUUGCUUUGAUGAAGGAUUCGAUCUCUUGACUGCAACUAUGGUUUUACCUUUGUCGACGUACCCUUUGUACACAUUACCAAAACCUCCACAGCCAAUCACAAAUUUCUCAUCAAAAUUGCCCGUUGCUGUUUUUAUCUCUUCAACUAAAAAGUGUCGACACAUAUCGGAUGAGCCUGAGCUGCCUGUAUUUUGCGUGGACUCUGAUGACUGGGGGGGACCAGAAUCAUUUCCCCUAUUUCGAUGCCGGGAAAUUAAGAAACUCAGAAUUGAAAAAACAGCAAUUCCACUGAUUACACCUGCAAUGCUAACAACAAUGACGUGCGAUGGUCUUUUCUUAUUGUUGUUUGGAGAAGUUGGUGAAAUGAUUGGAGCUUCUCUGGAAAAUUCAGGACUCAAGGUGGCCAGAUUUCCAUUUGCUUCUGAGGGAAAUUCAGGAUUUGGCAUGGACAGAUUUCCAUAUUGAUCGCUCAAUUUGAAAAUUUCUAAUCCAUUUAAGAUAACACUAGCAUAUACUGAUUUAUUUUCCAAGUUAGGACGCAAUUCAAGCGACACAUUUUGCUUGUUUCUUCCCACAGUUGGGUUAGUAGUAACAUUCACCACGUAGUCUCUGUAAACCGGGACUCUCCAGCCGCCACUCAAUUGAAUUACAUCAACUAGUCGCUUUGCCGUUUGGUUUCCAAUGGAUAUGUCAAAAACCCGAUAAUUUUGUUCCAUAACUUCCAGCUGAAUCUCACAAAAAUGGAGCCUGAAAAGAUAGUAAAACCCAGAAUCUAGAGGGAAUAUCCAAUCCAGGCUCUGGCUGUAGUUGGCCAUGGUCCUAGAGGUUGUGUAAACUAUGUUUGGCGCAGUAUAAGCCGGGGUUUUAUUAGUGUAAGUGAUGUUGACAUGUAAAUGUGGAGUUUGAUAGCCAUAUCCAACAACAAAGUCUUCAUCUGAAUCCCAUACCCGAUACAUGCCUGUAUCCCCUGUGCUCGAAACCAAAUUGCCUCCCACGUUCAGCCUGUACAGAGUCUCGAGAGCAGUAUUGUUAUCGAUAUCGUAAUUAAAAUUGUAAAUCUGCCCCGGCAAUUUGACGUCUCCGUGGAUGUAAAGAACAGUUGGCAUGGAAACUAUCUCAAUCCCAUUAACAAAAGCAUAAGAGAUGGGUGAUGAAGGAGAAAAAGUUAUUUUGAGAAGCUGAGUUUCAUCAACGUUAAUGACAAAUUCUUUUCGAAUCGCUUUACUUGCAGAGACUGUGAGGAAAGCACUGAAGUUACUCAAGAGGGUAAACUGAUUAGCUGUUACAGAGAAAAAAGAUUCAGAUUUGUUGAAGCCAGCGUAAUCGGCCGGGUAAAAAUAGAGACGGAGGAAUUUGGUGCCAGAGGAAACAGUGAAAGUGUAUGUGAAUUUCGAUUUGAAAAUACGAGCAUUCAUAUAAGGGACUCUAGAAACUGAAGAAUCUUGUUCAGAGGCUUUGGCUGGUGUGGAUAUGCUUGAACUGUUGGAGGUUAAGGAAUUCAGAUAGUGGAUAUCAGUAUCCCAUCGACGGCCAUCAGAUUCGUCCGUUGAGACUGAUGGUGCUCCACAGUUUAGCAAGAAAUGGACUGUUGCAUUGUACGGUGAUGGCGCGACAGAAAUAGUGGCCGUUAUGAGAUGCAAGAUGAGAAAGGAAAUUAUAGCACUAGUUAACAUGGUGUGGUGUUGUGCAAAAAUUCUGUAAUAUUUGGUAUGCAGACCAAACGAACAAUUAUACUGAACAAUUGCCAUGAAUUGAAGAAGGUUGACUCUCAAGUCAGUUGGUGUUAUAAUUUUUAAUUUGCUAUGGUUGAAAUUAAGUUUAUGUUUACAUUAGAGACACUCCACGAUUGUCAUUGAACAAUACUAUGACAAAUCCUCUUAAAGCUCUCCUUAUACUACCUAGUUUUUCAAUCGCCCAAAAUUCAUUCUGGAUUGCUCUAUCUGAACUCAACAGUAUUCCAGAACCAAUUAAAAAUGCAUCACACACACACAGAAAUCUGACUACAGUAUAGUCUCGAGAGAACCUUAUCUGUUGCAUACAAGAAAAUACGUUCAGAAGAAAACAAGAUGUACAUCUGUGCUGUCAUAAAAAGAAUUUUAUUGCGCUGUUAUUAUAAUUUGGAUGACCAUUUAAAUAAUUAACUCGAUUAUAUAUUAUUCAGAGAGAUUCAAUGGCUUCAGCGCAGAGUGAUGUAAAUUGCCAACUUUGUAGUAGCAAAUAAAGGGCACAAGUAAUUAAUCAUCAUGAAGGAGGAAAGUUACUGUGGCAACCAAUUCCUAGUUGUAGUACUAAUAUGCUAUUCAACUACAUCAAUUAAGUAAAUGGUUAACUGAUUGAAGGACUAAAAAUCAGUGACCCAAGAGUUGACCUCGUCAAAGAAUGCCAGAAAAAUUAAAGGUGCAAGGAUUAGGAAUAAUUGCACUAAAAAUGGUGCCAUAUACUCCAUAAGUUUCAUAUUACUUGAUCCUUAUUGACUCGGCACAUCCGUUGAGACAAUUUUAGUUAGGGAUGUAUUUUUACUAAUUUAAUCUUAUUAAUGAUGCUUUAAAAUUCUAAAUUUGAUUAUUAUUACUUUAUUGAGUUAUUAAUACUAAUAGAAAAAAAAUUAACAAAAUUCUCUUGAUUUCAUAAAUUGGAUAAAUAAAUUGAAACAUUUACUUUUAGCAUAGGGUAAGUAAAACGAAACGAAGCGAGUAUUUUCCUAGGAAAAUACAGAAGGAAAACAAAGAAAUAAAAAAGGCGAGGAAAACUUGCUAAUUGGCUAUUUUUUUCCUUGUAGGCCAUGCAAAUGAAUUAUCCUAAUAACGAUGUUGUCUUUCAUAUUUUCGUAAGUCUUUGUUAUUUUCUGCUAAAUAAUUCCAGUGGAUCAGUAGGUCAUAUAGAGUAAGACAUACAUGAAAUGACAGGUUUUGGAUUAUUUCUUUGGAAUUUGGAUGAUUCUUUGUUAAAUUUUGACCUGACAUUUCCACCUUAACAUGACAUGAGAUGGAAAAAAUAUCCAAUUUUGCAUGUUUAUACGGUCAUCAAAACUCCUAUUAUCCAAUGAUAUGAGAUGUAUUAAUUUUUCCUUUCGACUAUUCCGUGAAAAAAUUGCGGAUCCCUUCUUGUUCAUAUUUGUAUCGACACAUUAAAAAUCCUUAAUUUCAGGUAGAGAAAGAAAUAAGUGCUAAUUAAUGAUUCCAUCCCUUUAUCAAUCUAUCUUUGAUGUAUCAAGCCUAGUCUAAGUGACCCAUUGAAUUAGAUCCGCGUUAAACAAUCCAAAGGAGUACCGUCAACCCCUAAAAGUGUUUUCCCUUCUCGCCCGAAAGAAAAAGAUGUUUAUCAAGACUGCUUGACGCUAGCCAAGUCUCUGUGUUUUUGCACUGUUAAAACGCAAGUGAAAUAGGAAAGAAAAAUAAGCAACUCUGGGCCAUGAAAUAGUAACCUUUUUUUUGUCUCCAUUCUUUUCAUAAUUUCAUUUCUCUAUCUGCAACUCACUCUCAUUCAUUUCCAUGUUUGUUUCUUCUUCUUUAUCCGCUUGAAAAUCUUCUCAGUAGGGCGGGUAUGAAUGGAACUUUAUUAGUUUGCCUAAGAAAAAAUAGUGCGACUAUAUUGUUUGUAUAGCUUGUGAUGAUAGGCUAGUCCCUCCGUCCACUUUUGUAGUUUCUCAUAUCCACUUUUACUCGUUCAGCUUUAAAAAUCAAGAAAUAAUUUAUUAUUUAAUUUUAAUAUAAUUUUUAAAAUAUUAAAUUUAUUAUAUUUAAAUAAUAAAUAAUUAUUCUUUAAGGAUUGGAUAUGUCAAAUCGAUACCGUGCAACUAAAGAUGGACGAGGGAGUAUUCAUCUACCUCAAUUAAAUGGUUUACUGAUUGAAGUUGAUGUCACGAUCAGAGUCGAGGCCCUACCCGCGACGGGCAUCCCGAACCAUGAAGGUCCGAGAUACCCCUUAUCCCAACCUACUAGUGAUAUUGUUCCGAACCACGAAAGCCCGAGAUAUCCCUUGCCCCAACUCACUAGUGAUAUUGUCCGCUUUGGACCUAGGCCUUCACGACUUUAAAAUGCGUCACUAGGAAGUAAGACUUGCUUACUUAUAUACCCAGCACCCCUCUUGUAUUUUGUCGAUGUGGGACUCCUUAUACUAAGUUGGGUGUCACAUACACCACCUCUUAUGGACUCAGCGUCCUCGCUGAGGUUUACCCACCGAAUAAGAUUUGUCUAGACUCAAGACUGAGGUUUGUUCCGUCUUACCGGAAUUUGCCUACACUUUGUUUGAACUCUGGCCCACAUUGACAGGUCUGACACAGGAGAGACUCCGAUACCAUUCUGUCACGACCCAAGCCGAGGCCCUGGCCGCGACAGGCAUCCCGAACCAUCAAGGCCUAAGACACUCCUGUAACUCCCCAACCCACUAGUGAUAUUGUCCGCUUUGGACUCAGGCCCACACGACUUUAAAACGCGUCACUAAAAAAUAAGACUUACUUACUUAUAUACCAAGCAUCCCUCUUAUAUUUUAUUAACGUGAGAUUUUUUAUCUUAAGUUGGAGUGUUAUAUACGCCAUUCCUUAUGGAGUCAGCGUAAAGAUAAGGAAUUAUUGCACUAAAAAUGGGGACCAUAUAAAAGAAAUCAAUAGAAGUAAAAAAGAUGAGGGAAACUUCUUAAUGGGGGCGUCUUGUAUUUGUCUUGUAGGCCAUGAGCAAGACUUUUCUUAAUAUAAUACUCCAUUCGUUUAAAAAAGAACGAUGUAUUUUGACUUGAUAUAAAAUUUAAAAGAUUUUUAAAUUUUAUGAUUUUAAAUUAAAGUUGUGUUAAAUAUGUCAAAAUGUCCUUUAAUCUUUUGAUCAUAAACAUGUCAUGUAGAAAGUUAAAAUUAAAAUAUUGCCAAAAAAGAAAAGAGAUCAUUUUUUUUAAACGGAUUAAAAAGGAAAGUAAUUAUUUUUUUUAAAACGGAGGGAGUAAUAACUUGUUAAAAGUCUGUUAUGCUCAACUCAAUAAUUCCUCCGGCCAUAUAUUGUUAGUAUAGGCAUACGUGAAAUGAAAGGUUUUGAAUUAUUUUCUUUGGAAUUUGGUUGAUUUUUUGUUAAAUUUUGACCCGACUUUUCAACACUGAUAGAAAAUGAAGGAAAUAAAAAAGACGUACUACUAUGUUUAUAUUAACCAAUGAGAUGUACUCUCUUACGACAUUAUUUUAUUGUUUUGAUAAUUCUUUCAAAAGGAUGUGGAUCUACCCGUGUUCAUAUUAGUAUUAUACUCCCCUUCCACUUUUACUUGUCAAUCCAGUGGCGAUAGUUAAGAAUUUUUUAUGUGGGAUGGGUGGAUGGAGGUCGGGGUUUACCAAACGUUGGUGUAUAUUUCUAAAUUGUUUUUGACCCAUAUACACAAUAUUAUUUUUUGUAUGCACAAUAUAACUUUUGAAAGGACGUUGGAGUGACUAUUUUUGAGUCAAUGAAGCUAUAUAUGCCUCUGUUUGUCACAUUUCGCUGUUAAAUUGUAUGUACUUGGUGAGUAGUACUGUGAGAAUGACGACUGCACAUCAAGUGAGAGUUGUGAAUUUCAUAAGGUAAGCAAACAAAUAAUUACUUGUUGUAAAGUAAUUAAUAAUUCCGUCCUUCGGUUUGGUUUAUUUUAUUUAGUAAGGCUGCCAAUAAGUCUCGUCUUUUUUGUUUUUGCACUGUUUGGACGCAAGUGAACUGACGGGGACACGGGGUAGAUGCAAAACAAACAAAGAUGAAGAAAAGUAGCUACUCUAGUAGUCUUAUUUAUUAUAUAUACUGGGCCAUAUAAUAGCAACAUUUUCUUGUCCCAUUCCUUUCAUCUGCUAUACAUGACUCAUUCAUUUUGAUAUUGUUUCUUUUUCUUGAUUCAUUUUGAUGUUGUUUCUUUUUCUUGAUGUGAUUUGUUUUUGGUUUUCUGCUUAAAAAUCGACCGUAGGGCAGUAUGAAUGGAACUUAACUAGUCUGCCCAAGAAAAAAUAGUGAAACUAUCGUAUAGCUUAUACACUUCUGAAUAUUCGCUACAAUACAUCGAUAUUAAUAAGGAGACAAAUUCAAUAAAGGAAAAAGAAACAGAGAAAGAGCUAAUAUGCAACUUAUGUAUGUAACAAUCUCAUCGACCCGUUGGAUUCAAAAUCUCAGAGAAAAUGGUAUCACUCUUCAGCUUGUCAUCACUACUGGUCAUGGAUGUACCACUGCUGGUUGAUUUUCCUCCAACUUCAUAUGAACCUGAAAAGGCCUCGCCUUCAUCUGUAGAUAUAUUGGUAUGACCAUUCACAAUCAAGGGGAAAGACGGGCUAGCUGGGUAACUGUUCCCUUCCAUUUUGUGACCUCUAUUAUCUGCUGCAUCUUGAAGCUUUAAUACAAAUUCUAAAUUCCAGACAACAUCGCCCAUUGAUGGCCUUUGAACCCCCUGAUCCUUCAAGCAAUUAUAUGCUACUUCUGCAAACUUGUUUAAGCACUCCGGGGCAAUUUGUCCUUCCAAAGUCGGAUCAAUUAUCUGUUCAAGAUUUCCUUUUUUACAGCACCUACAAGCCCAAUCAGCCAAAUUCACUUGCCCUUUCGGCAUUCUAGGCAUUAAUGCUGGCCUAGCGCACAACACUUCGAAUAACACCACCCCAAAAGAAUACACAUCAGAUUUUUCUGUUAAUUGUUGUCGCUUAUAGUAUUCAGGAUCAACAUACCCAAAGCUUCCUUUCACAGCAGUGCUAACAUGGGUAUUUUCUGACCCACCAAGCGGACCAAUCUUGGAUAAUCCAAAAUCUGACACCUUAGCAACCCAUUUAUCAUCCAAUAAAAUGUUGGUCGACUUGACAUCUCGAUGAAUAAUGGUGUGCUUUGUACCUGUGAAAGUAAAUCUAACGAUCAUGAAUUUUAUCUACUAUAGAUGACAAUAGAUUCAAAAGUAUCAUUAAUCACGUCAAAACAUUCAAAUUUUAAUCUACUAGAAAAGCAAAUCAUUAUAUAUUAACAUUACCUACUAGUGACAAUCAAAACCUACCCAUCAAGGUGACUUUACUGUUUAAGUGCGCAAAGUUUAGUUACUUCAAUAUGAUUAAAUAAUAUACAAGUUUACUGUUAUACCGUAUAAAGUUCAGUGACUAUGAGUGAGAUUAAAUGUAUACCUGUAUGGAGAUAACACAAUCCUUUUGCUGCGCCAAUGCAAAUCUCAAGGCGUUUCCUCCAUGGAAGAGGAGCAUUAUCAGCUUUGUACAAGUGAUCACGGAGAGUUCCAUGAGCCAUGUAAUCAUAAACCAAAAUCAUCUCAUUGUUAUCAUCACAAUAACCAAUUAAGGAUACCAAAUGCAGAUGUCUUAGCUUUGAUAACAUGUGAAUCUCUGUCUCAAACUCGCGAACUCCUUGCUUUGAUGAAGGAUUCAAUCUCUUGAUUGCAACUGUGGUUGUGCCGUUGUCUAUGUACCCUUUGUACACAUUACCGAAACCUCCAUACCCAAUCACAAAAUUGUCAUCAAAAUUUCCUGUUGCAGCUUUUAUCUCCUCCAGUAAAAAGUGUCGGCACAGAUUGGAGGGUAAUGAUGAUGAGCCUGACCCGCUGGUCCUUUGGGUUGAGUUCGAUGUAAUUGAUAAAGGGAUCCACGAUGAUUUUGUAACGCUUGUAUGCAGAUCCUUUCCCUUUUUCCUCCGCUGGAAAAUCAAGAAACAUAGAAUUGACAACAGAGCAAUUCCACUAAUCACACCUGCUGUGAUAACAACAAAGACAUGCCAUUUCUUUUUCUUUUUUUCCUUUGGGGUUGAAUUCUCUGGAACUUCUAACCGCGAUUCAGGAUUUGGGACGGAAAAAUUUCCUUUUCGAUCGCUCAACUUGAAAAUUUCUAAGCCAUUUAAGAUAGCAUUUUCAUACACAGCUUUUGUUUCCAUGUUAGGUCGCAAUUCAAGCGACACAUCUUUCUUGCCUCGUCGGCCAUCUGGAUCUCUCACAAACACCACGUAGUCUGUGUACAUCGGGACUCUCCAGCCGCGACUCCGUUGAAUCACAUCGACUAGUUGAUCUGCCGUUUGGUUUCCAAUGAGUAUAUCGAAAACCCGAUAGUUCUGUUCCUUAACUUCCAGCUGAAUCUCACAAAAAUGGAGCCUGAAAAGAUAGUAGAACCCAGCGUCAAGAGGAAAAAUCCAAUCCAGGCUCUGGCUGUAAUUGGCGAUGGUCCUAGAGGUUGUGUAAACUAUGUUUGGCGCCGUAUAAGCCGGGGUUUCAGAAGUGUAAUUAAUGUUGACAUCUAUAUGAGGAGUUUGAUAGUCAUAUCCAACAACAAAGUCUUCAUCUGAAUCCCAUACCCGAUACAUGCCUGUAUCCCCUGUGCUCGAAACCAAAUUGCCUCCCACGUUCAGCCUGUACACAUUUUCAAGAGCAGUGCUGUUAUUGAUGUAAUAAAGAUUAUACUGCCCCACCAAUAUGAUGCCACCACUAUCUUCACGGAGAUAAAGAUCAGUUGGCAUGGAAACAAUCUCGAUCCCAUUAACAAAAGCGUAAGAGUUCGGCGAAGGAGAAAAGGUUAUAUUGAGUAUCUGAGUUUCAUCAACAUUGAUGACAUAUUCUUUUUGAAUUUUUAAACUAGAAUCGGUACUUGCAGCGACCGUGAGGAAAGCGCUGAAGUUACUCAAGAGGGUAAACUGAUUAGCUGUUACAGAGAAAAAGGAUUCGGAUUUGUUGAAGCCAAGGUAUGUGGUGGGGUAAAAAUAGAGACGGAGGAAACUAGUGCCAGGAGGAACACGGAAAGGGUAGGUGAAUUUAGAUUUGAAAAUACGAGCAUUCGUAUAAGGGACUCUAGAAACUGAAGAGUCUUGUUCAGAGGCUGUGGCUGGUGAUGAUAUGGUUGAUGAAUUGGAAGGUAACAAAUUGGGAUAGUGGGUAUCAGUAUCCCAUCGACGGCCAUCUUCAUCAGUGGCGACUGAUGGUGCGCCACAGUUGAGCAAGAAAUAUACUGUGGCAUUAUACGAUGAAGGCGUGACAGAAAUAGUGGCCGUUAUGAGUUGUAAGAGGAGAAAUGAAAUCAAAGCAAUGGCAACCAUGGUUGUGGUGGUUAUGAAAGUAAAAUACUACUAUGGAUUUGGUGUGUAGAUAGAUAUUAGUUAGAUGAAGUAAUAAUUAUACUCAACAAUAGCAAAGACUUGAGGGUUGACUCUCAAGUCAUUUUUGCUACUGUAAUUCUUAAUUUUGUAUGGCUGAAAGCCGACGUAGACCGAAAUAGUGUCCUUUGUCAUCAUUCGUUUAUUUUACUUUUUUGUUCAAGUAUUGUACAAAAUGAAAUAGCCUAGUAUUCAGUCUUCCGUACUUCUUGUGUUAUUAUAUAAUACUUAGUCUUUUUUUAAUUCAUUUAAAAAAGAAUGUUAAAUUUUUUUUUUUUUUUUUUGCUAACUAUUUAAAGAUAGAAUUUCAUGUUUACUCUUAUUGAUCCCACUUAUAAUGACCGACUUAAUUAAAAAUAGUAGUAGUAUAUUUUUUUAAUAAAAGAUAAUUUGAUAAAAAUUCAUCAAGUCUUUUCUUAUUUAUUAAACUCUAUAGUCUAUAUCCAGUCAAACUAUGACACAUAAAAUAAAACGCAGAAAGCAUUAUUUUCCUUUAUAAGUACUCACUGUAGCCCAACUUUCAUGACAUCGAUAAACUUUGACAAAGUAUUUAAGAAAUAAAGAAAUACGUUGAAAAUUUAUAGUCUAAAAUAAAUAUUUUAUUAUAAAAAUGGAAGUUUAAAGUUAAUUUAUUUUUGUUUAUAGAAAUAUGGCAUUUUUUGGGGAUAAAUUAAAACAAAAUGAGUCAUAGAAGUUGGAAUAACGAGAGUAAUUAAUUGACAAGAAAAGAUCAAUAUAUUUCAUUUAAGAAAUGAGUUAACUUUAAAUUUUUAGUUUUAAUAAGUAAUUUAUAGUCAGACAAGAAAGCAAAUCAUUAUAUAUUAACAUUACCUACUAGUGACAAUCAAAACCUACCCAUCAAGGUGACUUUACUGUUUAAGUGCGCAAAGUUUAGUUACUUCAAUAUGAUUAAAUAAUAUACAAGUUUACUGUUAUACCGUAUAAAGUUCAGUGACUAUGAGUGAGAUUAAAUGUAUACCUGUAUGGAGAUAACACAAUCCUUUUGCUGCGCCAAUGCAAAUCUCAAGGCGUUUCCUCCAUGGAAGAGGAGCAUUAUCAGCUUUGUACAAGUGAUCACGGAGAGUUCCAUGAGCCAUGUAAUCAUAAACCAAAAUCAUCUCAUUGUUAUCAUCACAAUAACCAAUUAAGGAUACCAAAUGCAGAUGUCUUAGCUUUGAUAACAUGUGAAUCUCUGUCUCAAACUCGCGAACUCCUUGCUUUGAUGAAGGAUUCAAUCUCUUGAUUGCAACUGUGGUUGUGCCGUUGUCUAUGUACCCUUUGUACACAUUACCGAAACCUCCAUACCCAAUCACAAAAUUGUCAUCAAAAUUUCCUGUUGCAGCUUUUAUCUCCUCCAGUAAAAAGUGUCGAGGGUAAUGAUGAUGAGCCUGACCCGCUGGUCCUUUGGGUUGAGUUCGAUGUAAUUGAUAAAGGGAUCCACGAUGAUUUUGUAACGCUUGUAUGCAGAUCCUUUCCCUUUUUCCUCCGCUGGAAAAUCAAGAAACAUAGAAUUGACAACAGAGCAAUUCCACUAAUCACACCUGCUGUGAUAACAACAAAGACAUGCCAUUUCUUUUUCUUUUUUUCCUUUGGGGUUGAAUUCUCUGGAACUUCUAACCGCGAUUCAGGAUUUGGGACGGAAAAAUUUCCUUUUCGAUCGCUCAACUUGAAAAUUUCUAAGCCAUUUAAGAUAGCAUUUUCAUACACAGCUUUUGUUUCCAUGUUAGGUCGCAAUUCAAGCGACACAUCUUUCUUGCCUCGUCGGCCAUCUGGAUCUCUCACAAACACCACGUAGUCUGUGUACAUCGGGACUCUCCAGCCGCGACUCCGUUGAAUCACAUCGACUAGUUGAUCUGCCGUUUGGUUUCCAAUGAGUAUAUCGAAAACCCGAUAGUUCUGUUCCUUAACUUCCAGCUGAAUCUCACAAAAAUGGAGCCUGAAAAGAUAGUAGAACCCAGCGUCAAGAGGAAAAAUCCAAUCCAGGCUCUGGCUGUAAUUGGCGAUGGUCCUAGAGGUUGUGUAAACUAUGUUUGGCGCCGUAUAAGCCGGGGUUUCAGAAGUGUAAUUAAUGUUGACAUCUAUAUGAGGAGUUUGAUAGUCAUAUCCAACAACAAAGUCUUCAUCUGAAUCCCAUACCCGAUACAUGCCUGUAUCCCCUGUGCUCGAAACCAAAUUGCCUCCCACGUUCAGCCUGUACACAUUUUCAAGAGCAGUGCUGUUAUUGAUGUAAUAAAGAUUAUACUGCCCCACCAAUAUGAUGCCACCACUAUCUUCACGGAGAUAAAGAUCAGUUGGCAUGGAAACAAUCUCGAUCCCAUUAACAAAAGCGUAAGAGUUCGGCGAAGGAGAAAAGGUUAUAUUGAGUAUCUGAGUUUCAUCAACAUUGAUGACAUAUUCUUUUUGAAUUUUUAAACUAGAAUCGGUACUUGCAGCGACCGUGAGGAAAGCGCUGAAGUUACUCAAGAGGGUAAACUGAUUAGCUGUUACAGAGAAAAAGGAUUCGGAUUUGUUGAAGCCAAGGUAUGUGGUGGGGUAAAAAUAGAGACGGAGGAAACUAGUGCCAGGAGGAACACGGAAAGGGUAGGUGAAUUUAGAUUUGAAAAUACGAGCAUUCGUAUAAGGGACUCUAGAAACUGAAGAGUCUUGUUCAGAGGCUGUGGCUGGUGAUGAUAUGGUUGAUGAAUUGGAAGGUAACAAAUUGGGAUAGUGGGUAUCAGUAUCCCAUCGACGGCCAUCUUCAUCAGUGGCGACUGAUGGUGCGCCACAGUUGAGCAAGAAAUAUACUGUGGCAUUAUACGAUGAAGGCGUGACAGAAAUAGUGGCCGUUAUGAGUUGUAAGA